rnacentral:rRNA from 1 species
CCUACGGGUGGCUGCAGUGGGGAAUAUUGGACAAUGGGGGAAACCCUGAUCCAGCCAUGCCGCGUGAGUGAUGAAGGCCUUAGGGUUGUAAAGCUCUUUUACCAGGGAAGAUGAUGACGGUACCUGGAGAAUAAGUUCCGGCUAACUUCGUGCCAGCAGCCGCGGUAAUACGAAGGGAACUAGCGUUGUUCGGAAUCACUGGGCGUAAAGCGCGCGUAGGCGGCUUUGCAAGUCAGAGGUGAAAUGCCAAGGCUUAACCUUGGAACUGCCUUUGA